GAGGUUGGGCGUGCUGUGGCUAGCUCCUUCUCUCUGAUCAGUCAGCAUUUCCCUCUGUAUCUGACUCCAGCUUUUUAUUAUAUGCACCAACUAAGAGCUCCGUUUACACGAGUGUUUGCCUGAACAUCUCUCUGUACGUGCCCCAUGUACACACGUGGUAACCGUGGAAGGCAGAAGAGGGAAUUGAAUCCCCUGGAAUUGUAGUUACAGAAACCCUAAACAAUACAAGUGGCUACCUGAUUUCACAACCCCAGCUGAUCUCUCAGAGGAUAACUUCCACUGGUGUGAGCCAUUUGAAGGAACCAUCUUGGAUGUCUGGCUCAACUUGAGGCUGCCAUCGCUGACACGCUGCUUCUGCAUGAGCGCACCCCUGGAACAGGCAGCCAGCGCAGCCAUCCAGGGCGCAUGAAGAAGAGGUUCCUCAGCUCUUCCAGCAGGUGUCGCUAACAUCACGGAAGAAACAUCGGACAGCAUGGUGUUAAGAUGGCAGAGAACUGAGAAGACGGAUACUACCUGGACAGUGCAAUGCCCAGUUACGACCAUCGGGACGACAGCAUCCACAG